UUUAUGCUGCAGAAUAUUACUUUAACUGUGUAAAGGUGUGCUUAUGCUGUAUUUGUUUAACGGUGCAAGUUUGUGUGUUUAAUUAUGAAAAGAUGUGUUGCAUUUGUUUCACCUUGCCUGUAUACGGCACCUGAUUAAUCUAAUAAAAAGUUGAAUUAAAAACUUUGGCCAAUAGCCAGGCAGGAGAGGGAUAGGCAGGACUGGCAUGCAGAGAGAAUAAAUAAAUAGGAGGAGAAAUCUAGGUUCAAGAGGAACGAGAAGCAGAAGAACAAAAGAAGGAGGAAAGAAUAAGGGACACGCCUAGAGCAAGAAGUCAGGCAGACACCAGCCAACCAGACAUAGAGAAGCAGUGAAAGUAAAAUAUAUAGAAGAAAGGUAACAAGCCCUGAAGCAAAAGGUAGAUAAAGAGAAACUGGUUAAUUUAAGUUAAAAGAGCUAGCCAGAAACGUGCCUAAGCUAGGCCAAGCAUUCAAAACUAUUAAUAAGUCAUUGUGACGUGAUUUGGGAGCUGGUUGACGGAUUAAAAGAAAAAGCCUGGUACAGAAAUAGCCUUACGGGGUUUUUCCUCAGACAGGUUUAGUAAGAAGGUUGAGUCAAGUGUCUACUGCAUACGGUCCUGCCUUCCAAGGCUGAUUACAGAGUGUGGGCAGCAGAGGGCAGCAAUGAGCUUCACAUGGCCUUCUGAUCUCAGAACCUCUGGAAAUUGAACCUGCCUCUCUGAUCCUCCAGCUCCAUUGCACAGAUGGGGAAAUCAGUCCUUGGCAGGACAGCGAGAAAGACGCAGGACAACUCAGUGAGAAGCAGAGUGAAGGUGAAGGAGGGCCCAGGGAGAGCCAGGACCCCCAAGAUGCUGCUGGGAAAGACCUAGGGAAAUACCUGAUACUAUUGCUGUUGCAAGUGAUGACCAUGUGUGAGAUACUGGUGUGUGCAGACCCUGGGUCUAGAGAGCUGACACCAUGAUCUCCUGAAAGACAUCACAACUACUGCUCUCCAUACUUCCCAUUGAGUCUCUAACCCAGACUGAUCAUGGGGAAAAUGUAAAUAUGGCCACCUGUGCACACACUCUCUCUCUACUUUUGAGAUGGGGGUCUAAUUUUGGAACUCACUAUAUAGCUUAGGCUAGCCUCAAAUUCAUGGCAGUUCUCCUGCCUCCAAGUGCUGGGAUUACAAGCUUGAACCACCACACCUGGCUUGUCUCUUUCUUAACCUUCCAACAGGGGAUGG
rnacentral:lncRNA from 1 species